CAACCAUCAUUCCUAGGUUUUAAGGCUUGCAUGAGUUCCAUAGGUAAGUACCCUCCCCACUGAAGUUUGGUUGGUUCAACCUGUCCUAGAAUAGUAACCGGGUUCUAGAAGGAUCUCAAAUCAUUGACCUUUCUUUAAGUCCACUUCAGUGCAACACCAAGUGGUUGACCAAAGCUUCCCUAAAGUCCAAUCUCAAAGAGUGUAGUAUCGAGUAUCAACCAACCCCAGUCGGAACCGAAG
rnacentral:lncRNA from 1 species